rnacentral:rRNA from 1 species
GAUGAACGCUGGCGGCGUGCCUAAUACAUGCAAGUCGAACGCUGAAGGAGGAGCUUGCUUCUCUGGAUGAGUUGCGCACGGGUGUGUAACGCGUAGGUAACCUGCCUCGUAGCGGGGGAUAACUCUUGGAAACGAUAGCUAAUACCGCAUAAUAGUAGAUGUUGCAUGACAUUUGCUUAAAAGAUGCAAUUGCAUCACUACCAGAUGGACCUGCGUUGUAUUAGCUACUUGGUGGGGUAACGGCUCACCAAGGCGACGAUACUUAGCCGACCUGAGAGGGGGAUCGGCCACACUGGGACUGAGACACGGCCCAGACUCCUACGGGAGGCAGCAGUAGGGAAUCUUCGGCAAUGGACGGAAGGCUGAACGAGCAACGCCGCGUGAGUGAAGAAGGGUUUCGGAUCGUAAAGCUCUGUUGUAAGAGAAGAACGAGUGUGAGAGUGGAAAGUUCACACUGUGACGGUAUCUUACCAGAAAGGGACGGCUAACUACGUG